rnacentral:rRNA from 1 species
CCUACGGGAGGCAGCAGUGAGGAAUAUUGGUCAAUGGGCGAGAGCCUGAACCAGCCAAGUAGCGUGAAGGAAGACUGCCCUACGGGUUGUAAACUUCUUUUAUAGAGGAAUAAAGUGAGGCACGUGUGACUCUUUGUAUGUACUUUAUGAAUAAGGAUCGGCUAACUCCGUGCCAGCAGCCGCGGUAAUACGGAGGAUCCGAGCGUUAUCCGGAUUUAUUGGGGGUAAAGGGAGCGUAGACGGGUUGUUAAGUCAGUGGUGAAAGUUUGCGGCUCAACCGUAAAAUUGCAAUUGAUACUGGCAGCCUUGAGUGCAGUAGAGGUAGGCGGAAUGCGUGGUGUAGCGGUGAAAUGCUUAGAUAUCACGAAGAACUCCGAGUGCGAAGGCAGCUUACUAAACUGCCACUGACGUUGAUGCUCGAAAGUGUGGGUAUCAAACAGGAUUAGAUACCCGAGUAGUC